CUUAAAGGGACUUUGGGGGGAGUCUACAUAAAGCUCGCUGUGGGAAAAACAUCGCUGGAGUUUUUUGUUUGUUUGUAAUAUUCUUCCCCUUUUCAGAUAAUGAGGCUUAUUAUCUUUUUCAGACAUGAGGGAGCAGGAACGCUUAAAUGCUGAGAAAGACGGCAGUGGUGUAGAGCUUCCUGUGUACACGUCGUAGAGCUCCGCCUUGUUGGUCACUGCCAUUCUGCCCUCCGUCUCCUGCCCCAGACAUCCUUUUCCUGCUGUUAGUGCUGUAGCUGUUGGGGUGCUGCCGUUUGAGUGAGAGUUUUUCCCUAUGUUGCGGGGUUUUCACUGUGGUCAACAAUAAAGACCUGUUUCCUUUGCUGUUUGUGAAUCCUAAGUUUUUCUUUUGUUUUGGGAUCAAGAUAUUAUCAUUUGGUUUCUUAGUUUGUUGCUGGUUUAUGUAAUUAAUAAUCAUUUUUGGAAGCCGUAUUGAGGAGGUUGCCAUUUCCUUUAUGAAUCUUUGUUUUCUCCUGUUUUUGGUCAGUUAGGGAGUAAGGGGAGUAUUUGGG